rnacentral:rRNA from 1 species
UACGAAGGGGGCUAGCGUUGUUCGGAAUUACUGGGCGUAAAGGGCGCGUAGGCGGUCGAUCGCGUUGGGUGUGAAAGCCCCGGGCUCAACCUGGGAUGUGCGCCCGAAACGGGUCGGCUGGAGAUCGGAAGAGGAGAGUGGAAUUCCCAGUGUAGAGGUGAAAUUCGUAGAUAUUGGGAAGAACACCGGUGGCGAAGGCGGCUCUCUGGUCCGAUUCUGACGCUGAGGCGCGAAAGCUAGGGGAGCAAACAG